rnacentral:lncRNA from 1 species
AGAGGUCGAAAGUGUUCUGAUUUUCUCUGGCCUUUGAAUAUACUAUGGUGAAAAUGAAUUACCCCACUUUGAUGUGUGAUGACUGAUUUUAUAGAAUUCAAAUUUUGUUACAAAAUUCAAAAUGAAAUUCUAACGAAAUUCAUCUGUAAUUCAGUUUCGGUUAGAAAAGUAACUAGUUAGUUAUCACUCAAAAUCACCUGAAAAUCUA